CAGUCGCCACGGUAAUACGUAGGGUGCGAGCGUUAAUCGGAAUUACUGGGCGUAAAGCGUACGCAGGCGGUCGUGCAAGCCCGGCGUGAAAGGUGGGGGCUCAACUCCCAAACUGCGCUGGGAACUGCAAGGCUUGAGUUUCUGAAGGGCAGCCGGAAUUCCACGUGUAGGGGUGAAAUCUGUAGAUAUGUGGAAGAACACCAAUGGCGAAGGCAGGCUACCGGCAGAAGACUGACGCUGAGGUGCGAAGGUGCGGGGAGCAAACAGGAUUAGAUACCCCUGUAGUCCCUGUCUCUUAUAC
rnacentral:rRNA from 1 species